rnacentral:rRNA from 1 species
UACGAAGGGGGCUAGCGUUGCUCGGAAUCACUGGGCGUAAAGCGCACGUAGGCGGCUUUUUAAGUCAGAGGUGAAAUCCUGGAGCUCAACUCCAGAACUGCCUUUGAUACUGGAGAGCUUGAGUCCGGGAGAGGUGAGUGGAACUGCGAGUGUAGAGGUGAAAUUCGUAGAUAUUCGCAAGAACACCAGUGGCGAAGGCAGGUCUCUGGGCCGAUACUGACGCUGAGGAGCGAAAGCGUGGGGAGCGAACAGG